ACUCCUACGGGAGGGCAGCAGUAGGGAAUCUUCCACAAUGGGCGCAAGCCUGAUGGAGCAACACCGCGUGAGUGAAGAAGGGUUUCGGCUCGUAAAGCUCUGUUGUUAAAGAAGAACACGUAUGAGAGUAACUGUUCAUACGUUGACGGUAUUUAACCAGAAAGUCACGGCUAACUACGUGCCAGCAGCCGCGGGUAAUACGUAGGUGGCAAGCGUUAUCCGGAUUUAUUGGGCGUAAAGAGAGUGCAGGCGGUUUUCUAAGUCUGAUGUGAAAGCCUUCGGCUUAACCGGAGAAGUGCAUCGGAAACUGGAUAACUUGAGUGCAGAAGAGGGUAGUGGAACUCCAUGUGUAGCGGUGGAAUGCGUAGAUAUAUGGAAGAACACCAGUGGCGAAGGCGGCUACCUGGUCUGCAACUGACGCUGAGACUCGAAAGCAUGGGGUAGCGAACAGGAUUAGAUACCCUGGUAGGAUAGCG
rnacentral:rRNA from 1 species